UUGCCCUACGGAGUGCUCAGGUCCGCCGCAUCUCCUGUAGCGCCGUGGGGUUCGGCCGGCCGGUGAGCGGUGAGAGUGGCCUCCUCAAGACACCGCUCCCGGCCGGCCAUUUC
rnacentral:sRNA from 1 species